rnacentral:lncRNA from 1 species
CCUUGGGUCAGUGCAAUGCAGCUGAGCAUGCUCCAGGUGGUGCAGCCUUCCUCUUCUCUGUGCGUGUGAGCAAGGCAUUUGGAAAGAUGAGUUGUGUGCAAGCACACAGUUCCAGGUGGUUUGACCAGAGGUUUGUGGCGGUCCAGUUUACAGGAAACUUUUAUGCUUAAACCAAGAGGAUGCUAUAGAUGGAGCUAAUCUGCGAGAUAAGAAUUUGCCAAGGGCAUCAACAGCAGUUUUCCCAGGCUUCAGAACGAGGAUUACAGAGGCAAUCCACAAAUGGCUCAAAUCUUUGAAAAAACG